rnacentral:rRNA from 1 species
AGGGAAUAGAUACCCCGGUAGUCCACGCCCUAAACGAUGUCAACUAGUUGUUGGGGGAGUAAAAUCCCUUAGUAACGCAGCUAAACGCGUGAAAGUUGACCGCCUGGGGAGUACGGUCGCAAGAUUAAAACUCAAAGGAAUUGACGGGGCCCGCACAAGCGGUGGAUUAUGUGGAUUAAUUCGAUGCGACGCGAAAAACCUUACCUGGCCUUGACAUGCCACUAACGAAGCAGAGAUGCAUUAGGUGCCCGAAAGGGAAAGUGGACACAGGUGCUGCAUGGCUGUCGUCAGCUCGUGUCGUGAGAUGUUGGGUUAAGUCCCGCAACGAGCGCAACCCUUGCCAAUAAUUGCCAUCAUUCAGUUGGGCACUUUAUUGGGACUGCCGGUGACAAACCGGAGGAAGGUGGGGAUGACGUCAAGUCCUCAUGGCCCUUAUGGCCAGGGCUUCACACGUAAUACAAUGGUCGGUACAGAGGGUUGCCAACCCGCGAGGGGAGCCAAUCCCAGAAAGCCGAUCGUAGUCCGGAUUGUAGUCUGCAACUCGACUAC